UUUUAUGGAUGAGCAAAGAAAGUGGUUUUUUGACAGGGAACCUAUUUCUGGUGGAAAUGCUGUGGA
rnacentral:pre_miRNA from 1 species